CCUACGGGUGGCAGCAGUGAGGAAUAUUGGUCAAUGGACGAGAGUCUGAACCAGCCAAGUAGCGUGAAGGAUGACUUCCCUAUGGGUUGUAAACUUCUUUUAUAUGGGAAUAAAAUGUUCCACGUGUGGGAUUUUGUAUGUACCAUAUGAAUAAGGAUCGGCUAACUCCGUGCCAGCAGCCGCGGUAAUACGGAGGAUCCGAGCGUUAUCCGGAUUUAUUGGGUUUAAAGGGAGCGUAGGUGGAUUGUUAAGUCAGUUGUGAAAGUUUGCGGCUCAACCGUAAAAUUGCAGUUGAAACUGGCAGUCUUGAGUACAGUAGAGGUGGGCGGAAUUCGUGGUGUAGCGGUGAAAUGCUUAGAUAUCACGAAGAACUCCGAUUGCGAAGGCAGUUCACUGGACUGCAACUGACACUGAGGCUCGAAAGUGUGGGUAUCAAACAGGAUUAGAUACCCGAGUAGUC
rnacentral:rRNA from 1 species